rnacentral:lncRNA from 1 species
GAGUUUAGCUGUGCAAGGACACAUUGUACGUGGAGUCUCUGUUUCCUUGAGGUAUUGCAUCUUCUCGUAUGUGUAGGAGGAAGUGAGCUGGGUGUUUGGAGGAAGAGGAGAGAGGUGCAACUGGUUGGAUUUAGGGGUGGAUGAAGUAAUGCUGUCAGAAUCUCAGUGAUGUGCAUAACCUUGGGCUGUGUGGGGCCCGGAUACGGGAGCCACUGGAGAGCUUAUCCUGAGAAACUCUGGCAAGGGACAGGGUUGAACUAUUUUUGGGAAGUCAGACCCAACUGAUAGGUAGCAGCAAGCAGCAGGACUCAGGGGCAGGAGUCAAGGGCUCUGUCUGGCACUUGUGUUCUCAUUCACAAGCUGCCAUGUUUGCAUUCCUGAUUCUCUUUUCCAAACUGUUGGUAACCCCCUUCCCUCCCUCUUUAACCCAUUUAAAUAUGGCUUUAAUGGUGGUUGUCCUGUUGUAAUCGGGAGUGGGCAGGGCAUCUGUUCUCUGAUGGAUGUGACAACUUUGUCUUCCAGAUGAAUUUCACCACGAAUUUUUCAAGUUCUAGAAUGGACAAGUUCACCUGUCAGCAGUUUGUUGGGAGGCUCCGGACUCAGCAGGAACUUCUGUCAAUGGAAGGUCCCACCACCGCUCACGGGAGGAAGACCCCAUGUUGCCAAGUGGUGUGA